rnacentral:rRNA from 1 species
CAGCCGCCGCGGGAAUACGAAGGGUGCAAGCGUUAAUCGGAAUUACUGGGCGUAAAGCGUGCGUAGGCGGUGAGUUAAGUCUGCUGUGAAAUCCCCGGGCUCAACCUGGGAAUGGCAGUGGAUACUGGCUCGCUAGAGUGUGUCAGAGGAUGGUGGAAUUCCCGGUGUAGCGGUGAAAUGCGUAGAGAUCGGGAGGAACAUCAGUGGCGAAGGCGGCCAUCUGGGACAACACUGACGCUGAGGCACGAAAGCGUGGGGAGCAAACUGGAUUAGAUACCCGUGUAGUCCCUGUCUCUUAUAC